rnacentral:lncRNA from 1 species
AUUUAGGAACGGAUAAUGAUCCCGCUCUCGCUACGUCUAAGUAUAGGAGAUACAAGAGCCGUUAACAGUUUGUUACUGCUAAUGAAGGCCUCACAUCGACUGGAAUCGAUAAAUCCUCAAGUUUCAACAUGGAUUACACUACUCACCUUUCUUCUUGUCCUUCUCCUUUUUAUCGCCAGGUUCUUUUUCACUGCUGUAAAAAAAGAAGUGCGAAGAAAAUAGUUCCUGCGAGAUGCUGGAGGCACUAAUAUACGGAUCCCAAUUAUGGCACAAUACACCGCGACCGGUUUCAGCGAACUCGCGGCUGCUACGUCUCAACGGAGUUAGCUUUGGUUCGACUACGAAAGACUAUUGUAGCUAAUAAUGUUCAAGAAACAACUUCGGACUUCAUCUUGUAUUUUUAGAGCUUCUCAUUUUGUUUCAAGCAUAUAAAAUGUUAGAAAAGUGAAUACAGUUUACUACUGACUGUGAAUUAUUAAUAUUAUCAUCGUGUUGAUAUUCGACGAAAAGGAUGAAAAACACGCGUAGGCGUUCGUGUCGACGCGUAUAAUCGGUUAAACAGGCCACGACGAAUCCGUUUCAAGAGUGGUACCUUCACCAUCGUCAACGGGGACUGUAAUUGCUUUAUAGCACGCUGAUCAUAAUUAACGUGGACACACCUUAGAGAUUUAAGAAUCCAACAAACGUUACAUUGAAUUUGAAUAUAGAAUCGUGAAAGACUAGAUUUCUAAUCGCCGAAUAUUUUAUCAUUUAUAGUGGAAUUUUCUAUACAAUUUUAAGGGAAGAACAUCAUUUCUCCAAUCUUAAAGAAAUAUAAUCGCAAAUCAUAUUGAUUCUUUUCAUUAGAAACUUCUGGUAAAUAUUUUAUUGCUGAAUUAAAAAAAAUAUAUCAGAUUCUUACUUAAUAAAAUAUUUAACGUAAUUCUUUUCUUUAACAUCUAGGAUACAUUUCAUCGUACUUCUCUCGUCGCGUGCGAUUAUAAUUCUGUCUACGCAAAUGAUGGCGAUGAACGUUCUAUUAUAGGGACGUAACAACGACCUUGUAUGUUAACUCGUGCAUAUAUUCGCACAUGCAACAACCUCGUAUGUAUUUGUAAUUUUUCAACAUGAGCGAAACUGGAUGCGGGAGAGCAUUUUUGAUUUUAACACAAUCGAUAUAUGAUGCGUGCCCUUGCCCUUUCUAAUCGCGCACUCGACGAGGCGUGUAAGGUCGUCGAAUCGCCCAUAGGAGGCCUCACAUUAAUAUGCUUAUAUUACGCAGGGGACAGACGGAGAACCAAAGAGAGAGCGAGAGGAAGAGAUCUUGUAUGAUUAGUCCAAAGGAUUACGUAACUGCUUGCAGCGUUCAUUACAAGAGAUCAACGUGUAAGCGCGCGCGUAUAUGCGACGAAUGAAGAACCAUAAAUGCGGAAAAUAUCCCGGUAUACAAUACCGAUAACUCGCCGCAACUGGAACGAUCAAUGUCACGUCAAUGUUCUAUGGCUUGAGUGUAGAAGGCCAAAUAUCAUAUAUUGGAAUAUAUGGUUUGACGUCAUAUUAUUCACGGUGUCAAGAUUGCUCGAGCUAUUUUAAUAAUAAACCAGUUGGAGCAGACAUUAAAUAAACUACUGAACCAUUAGUGCAGUUUAUGAAUUAUGAAUAAUUCAAAAUAAUGGUCCUUGCCUUCGUUUUGAAAGUACUUAAUCUGCAACCUCAGAAAUUUCAGGUUUAAUUUCGUAAUUAAUAAUAAAAAGUUUUGCUUCGUUAAACACAUUAUCCCGAUAACAUUUAUAUACCACAGAAAUUAUAUUAGCCGUGAGUGACAUAGUUUCAAAGUUACAAGUACAAUACGUUGAUAGGAGAUAAAUGGUGGCUUAGAAAGUUCUGCAGUCUCUUCAUAUUUCUCUUUCUAGUUCCGAGCCGCAGAAGGACACCGGUUAUUUUAGUUCUCCGAAGUAUACGGAGACUGAUGUAUAACGCAACAUACAUCUACUAUACUCGAAGUAUCAUUACGCCGUUCGCUUUUACAAUAGAAAACGGUCGAGCUGGAUACGUCCCGAUAAAAAUUUAUAAAAAAGCGAAAGUAACAGCUUUUGAAGAAUUCGAAAAAAUAGGGUAAUAGUGGUGGAGAAUUUCGACAACGGAAUUUUAGUGCAUAGCUGAAGUGAUUCACAUACACGAGAUCGUCGAAUCUGGAUCGAAUAUAGCUCCUUUGUUGACUGUCUAAACUUUGUUUAUUUUUAGGAUGCGAAAAAUAAGGCUUUCAAGGAUUGUCCAGCUUCUUGUGAAACGAGAGAUACAAGAGAUGUAUACAUGCACCAAAUGACUAAACGAUCGACUAAGAAUAGAGGAAAUUGUAAAAGAAGCGUAAGAAGUCGGAAUGUUACUUCGCAUUUCAAGCAACGUUCAUUCCGUGACAAAUGUUCGUGAUUUACGCCAGACCUGGUAAACUAGACGAUAAAGACGGAUAACUGUGAUUUUUUACACAAGAUAAUCCGGCACGAAAGGAAACGCAGUAGCUCAUCUUCAUCAAGCAUAAAGGAAGAGAACAACCGAGACGAUUUCUUUCAGCGAGUGCGAGAAAGCGCAACGAAGUCGACCACUCUGUCGAAAGCACUAUGCAAUUACUGUGAGUUUCACAUGAUAUUGAUGGUCAUUCCUUUGCAAAAUUCAACGUCUCAAGGAACACGGAAAUAUAUAAAGGUAUAAGGAAAUACUUCAAUCGGUUAUAACAUAAAAAUUAAAAAUUUGUAACUGGACUGCUACGUGUAACAUUCCGGUACUGUGAUACCGCGCUGUGACUCGACGAUAUUAUAUUUAUUCUAAAAAUAGAUGGUAUCAUUAACAACAGGAAUAUUGAACGUGCAUGAAUUAACGUGGCUCAUAUCGGGAAUAUUUACGAUAUAACGCAACGCACUAAUGAAAGUGUUAUACGUUGCGUGUACAUACGUAUACACUCGAGACUUUUAUGCCCGUAAAAAAUCCGGAUGCACAUACGCACGCAUGCACGCACGCCGCACGCACGCACGCACGUGCUGUUAAUUAAAAAACGCAAGGGACACAGCGCGGGAUUGCACGGCUUGAAAAUUGUUUCAAACAUAAGAAAUGUUCGCCAAUGUCCGACAGGAAUCUAACGGAGAUAAAGGCAAAGUACAUCCGCAUUGCGAACGAAAGAGUUUCGUGCGUCUGCUUCGAACACAUUUAUUCAACGAAUUAUUAAUAAAUAAAGAUAAAUAUGAGAGACGUCAAUAAAUAGGUGAAUGAUAUCUCUGAUAGUUUUAUAUAUAAAAAAUUUAAACAAUUAAAUACAAUAAUUAGAUAUAAUUUUAACAUAUUUAUUAGUUACAUUAACGCAAUUAAUAUUGUUUAUUAAUUAUAUUAAUUAUAUUAAUGUAAUAAAUAAAUCAAUGUAAUAGUGUAAUAUUUGUAAUUUCCAGUAAAUGAAUGUUACAUGUAUCACCCAUUUAUUAUUCAGAUAAUUUGUUCAUGUCACAAAGUUUGUUCCUCGAGAACACGUAAUUGCAAAUCUGUAGCGGGUUCUCAGCAAAUUAACAAACUUCUCGCACCUCACGUGCGUUAUGUAACGAUUAUCAGAGUUAUUUGGAGUUAGGGAGUUGCAAUUACCAUAAGUGUAAGCCUCAAAUGUCGGUGCGUAUCGAUAGAACAUAUAGUAAACUAAUUAUCUUAUUUCAGAUAGGAACGAAGAAGUGGCCUAGCUUUAGUCGAGAGUCAUUGUCUAAAGAUAAUACGCAGAAACGGCAUUACAGAGCGUUUUAUUGCCUUAUUAAAACUUUCAGCCGUCACGGAAGCGUAAUAAUAAGAAGCAAUUAUCACGUGCACAUUGCGGAUCGAUUGGUACACUAUGCAAUAAAUCCGACGUAAAACAGAUGAUUUAGGAGCAUCGGCGUUACUCUGUGCCGUGUUUUUCCCCGAGUAAGAAUGUCGAGCGGCCUUUCAGAGGCAGAGGAGAAAGCUUUUGGUCGAGUGUGUAAUCUAGAAAUCAGUCGGUCAGGCUUUGACUUUGGAAAGUUACGGUUUAACAAUACGUUGCAAUAUGUAUAAAUUUAAAUAGUAAUAACACGAAUUGAUGAAAAUAUCGUGACUCGUUGCGGUUGUGCUUGUUGUAAAAUGUUUGUCGGCUCGCGAACAUUCUCGUUGACGAUUCAGUUGCAAUUCGUGUCACUCUCUUGAUUUCUCGAGUCGAAUUUGCAAGCAGAAUUGAGUAGCACAAGUAGCAAGAAUGAUCGAUUGCAUAUUGCUCUCAAUAGGAUCACACGCGCUGGCUCGCUCGCCAGUCGCGAUAUUUACGAGACGUAAUAAGUCGCGGGGAAGGAGUAUGUUUACGCGGUUGUCAGCUGCUUCCAGAUGCACGAGUGCGUGCGCGGCACGGCGGAAACAAAGAAAAUCGCGCACCGCGAUUCUUCGACGGCGCGCUCGCGCUCGUGCGCCGCGAUUCUAAUUAUCUAAGUCUGUCACGGCCACAAACACAACUGGUGCAACGAGGCACAAUGGGCUCAAUAUCCGGUCGAAGAAAUCGCGAUGCGCGGCCAGGCCGGCCGUUUCAAGGAUGCGUCUUCGACAAAUUUCGAGUUAAUUGCGAGAAUGCCCUGAUUAAUUAAAUUCGAAUUCUAAAAUCGACAACAAGUUAUAUUUGUUACAUUAAUUUUGAAACAAACCGUAUUGCAAUCAUUGUGAUAUAUUUGUUAAAAAGAUGAAAAAUACGUGGUAGAUAGGAAUUUUUAGAAGACGGAAAUAAAAUUGGAGUAUGUUAAUUUAAUUUUUAUUAGCAAA